UCCAUCACAUAACAUUACUUACCAUGUUUUCUACGUCUAUAUAGGUGACAUAGUUCUCAAUGGUGGAGCAGCUUGCCAUUGGUACUUCAAUCCAACCAUUGAAGAGGCUCAACCAUACUAUAACAGGAUUUCAACACAAGAAAUGGUACUACAAUUGCCGUUGCUUACAAAUGACGACAUUGUUCCAUUUGACGUCCCAAAAUGUCAACACAAAACUACCAAAGAACUACUAGAAUUUGAUCCCUACACUAUACCGAAAGAAGGUUGUGAAUGCACUGUGACUAUUGUUCGAAUUUCUGAAAAAAAUAAAUGGUGGUAUCCACCAUGCACCAAAUGUCCAAAGAAACCAGCAAUGAACCGUAAGACAAUGCAAUGUCGCGAAUGUGGAUCCAUUGACUACUGUUUCAGGUACCUACAAAACAUUCUUACUACAAUUUCAGAAACAAAUCUACUCUAUCCGAACAAUGCUCUUUUUCCCACUAUGUUGUGCAAUCUUUGAUCAACGAGCAUUCAUUAGCAG
rnacentral:misc_RNA from 1 species